GGUGCGGUGCCUGCGAUUCAUUCCGCAGGAGAAUAGGGAAGCGAGGUGAAAUUCCUCCGCGGUCACGCCGCUGUAAUAGAAGAGUUUCUUCCCAGAUAUGCCACUGGGCGUGAAAGCCAGGGAAGGCAGGAAGAAGCGAUGACGCUUAAGCCAGAAGAACUGCCCACCAU
rnacentral:ncRNA from 1 species